UUUAGAGUUCAAGUAUCUUAGUGAUUUCGUGCUUGUCUAAAUAGAAGUUCAAUCUUCUUUUUUUCUCUAAGUGUUGUCAAGACUGAAGAGUGACCUAACCAUGUGCUCCCUCUUUUGAGUCCUUUCCUCAAACUUCCCAGGCCCUGUUGUCCCAUGGAGUCCUGGGGCUGUUUGGGUUUCGAUAGAGUCGAGAGAAGCUGUGAAUGAGGGAACUCCCAGGCUCCUUUCCUCCACUUCACGGCCAGGAUACCAGCCAGUUCAGAAGUUCUCAAUCAGUGCUCUCUCCAGCAAAAGCAGAAAUACUGGCAGAUAACAGCAUUGAGGAAUUAAGUGAAUGCAGAACUAAGACAAUCAUUCAGAAGAGCCACCCCACGGCCUUCCUCAGAAGCCUUCGGGAAACAUCAUGCAGUGUUCUCCUUUAAACUGAGUGUUUAUCUUCGUUCUUUAUGUUACUGAUAUUCAACUGUCCUAUGGCCAUUCUUAGCAAUAUAGAUGUUCCUGUAGGUCAAAGAAUGGAAAGCAACUUCAGAGAAAGGCAAAAAUGGAAGGAGAAUGCAGGCCAGAAGUUAGCCUAUUUAUACGUGAAAACAACAGCUAAUCCCCUGGGCAUGGAGUGGGGAGCUUAAAUCAUACCACUUUAGCAAGACCCCCCAUGCUUCCCUGCCUUGGUGACUGAUGUCUUUCCUAGGAUGCUUUUGAAUCAGAUUUGAGCCAAUAUCUACAAAGCUCCUGAUGCUACAUACGUUGAAGGCAGAAGAGUGGUUUGAUAACGGACUGUCCAAUAGUCACCACCAGAUGAUUCCUACGAUCUCCUGUGACCUUCAAAGUGGGCCCAUAUACCCUGCGGGAAGUAUAAGGAACUCCACUGGGAUGCUGGAAGGAAAUAAUAGAACUUCUGUUUAUACUUUAUUUUUCAUCUCAUCCUUUUGUAAUUUCUAUUUUUGUGUAUGCUUUACGAUAUAAAUACCAUAUAGGAGCUUAUGUCUAUAAUUUAUAAGUGAAUAAAUGCACAUUGGGGUGCAUGCUCAAAUGUUUGAUUGAUGGAGCAUACAAUCAAGCUUGGUGACACCAUUCUGAUCAGCAAGGGUAGAAAUACUUCAAUAGAGCAAGCUAGAUGAAACCCUGGGGAGGCCAGAACAAGAGCAGCAGACCACUUUGCCUUCCCUGCCUUGGUGUAGAAUGGUGUAGUGGGAAAAUGUUGCCGACCCUUUCUUAGGGUCUGGUGUUCUCUUCAGUGUGGAGUUACAGGAAGUCCCUCUUUUGGGGCUCUGCCAUCAAGUCUCAUGACAUGUCAAAUUAAAGGACUUCCUGGUGCUUCACUCAAAUGUCUACCUGGAGUCAUUGCCCUCAACUCUAACUUGUGGAGAUGUAUCUGCCCUGCUGUUUCUGCUGCUUGGAAACUGCUAGAACAUGCUGCCUGGCCACCUUCGAACUCCAUCCCCACUGCUGGGCACUGAUGCAGAGGCAUCCUUCCCCAGGCCUUGUUGACGUCUUGUUUCAAAGAGGCACAGAACAAUGUCUCCUCAAAGCCAACGGGCUCUGGUGUCCUCCUGUCCCAUGGGGCCUGAACCCCUGCAAGUGCCCCUGCAGCUUGGUGGGAGUGAGACAGCAGAGUGCCCCAGGCUGGGCUGGCCACACAGCUGAGGCCCACAAGCCUACCAGCUGCCGCAUGGCAGAGGAAGAUUAGCCCUGAGCUAACAUCUGCCACCAAUCCUCUUCUUUUUUGCUGAGGAAGGCCAGCCCUGAGCUAACAUGCACGCCCAUCUUCCUCUACUUUAUAUGUGGG
ensembl:lncRNA